AGAGUUUGAUCCUGGCUCAGAUUGAACGCUGGCGGCAGGCCUAACACAUGCAAGUCGAGCGGCAGCACGGGUACUUGUACCUGGUGGCGAGCGGCGGACGGGUGAGUAAUGCCUAGGAAUCUGCCUGGUAGUGGGGGAUAACGUUCGGAAACGAACGCUAAUACCGCAUACGUCCUACGGGAGAAAGCAGGGGACCUUCGGGCCUUGCGCUAUCAGAUGAGCCUAGGUCGGAUUAGCUAGUUGGUGAGGUAAUGGCUCACCAAGGCGACGAUCCGUAACUGGUCUGAGAGGAUGAUCAGUCACACUGGAACUGAGACACGGUCCAGACUCCUACGGGAGGCAGCAGUGGGGAAUAUUGGACAAUGGGCGAAAGCCUGAUCCAGCCAUGCCGCGUGUGUGAAGAAGGUCUUCGGAUUGUAAAGCACUUUAAGUUGGGAGGAAGGGCAUUUACCUAAUACGUAAGUGUUUUGACGUUACCGACAGAAUAAGCACCGGCUAACUCUGUGCCAGCAGCCGCGGUAAUACAGAGGGUGCAAGCGUUAAUCGGAAUUACUGGGCGUAAAGCGCGCGUAGGUGGUUCGUUAAGUUGGAUGUGAAAUCCCCGGGCUCAACCUGGGAACUGCAUCCAAAACUGGCGAGCUAGAGUAUGGUAGAGGGUGGUGGAAUUUCCUGUGUAGCGGUGAAAUGCGUAGAUAUAGGAAGGAACACCAGUGGCGAAGGCGACCACCUGGACUGAUACUGACACUGAGGUGCGAAAGCGUGGGGAGCAAACAGGAUUAGAUACCCUAGUAGUCC
rnacentral:rRNA from 1 species